AAUAGAUGACUUGAAACCGAACUAAACCAAACCGACAACAAAACCAAAUAGUUUUCAUCUCCAGUGUGUCUUCGAGCUCAUACAUCUCAAAGUAUCAAACUAUGAUUGCAAAAACCUUUCAAGUAAGUUACUUCCCAACAACCCAACCCUUGAAGCUGCAGUCGAGUUAACAAUUUUUAUGCAACUGGAUAUUAUGCAAAAAUCAAGUUAUGCUUGUGUUAGGUUUGGUUUUGUUUUCUGUUGCAAUUGAGCUUAUUCUGCAUGACAUCUGUUUGUUCCGGUGGUGAGGGAUAAAUGGAUAGUGUUAUUGGUGUUGCAGUAGUUGUGUUGUGUAGUUUUGUAGGAAGCUGCUUGCUAGUUGCUAUUGAGUUUUGAAAAAUUAGGAAACCCUCAUUUUUUAUGAUUACAGGAUCCUUCACUAAAUUUGGAUUUGGUUAAUUGAUUAUUUGCUGCUUGCUAGUUGCUACUGAGUGUUAUUAACAUAUUAUUUCACAACCAUUUAUCAAAUCUGUUUUUGUCAGGUUAUGUCACAACCAUUUAUCAAACCUAUGUUUCCCUUAUAGCAAUGAAGAUGAAUAUAAAGAUUGAGCCCCAGUAGGGGCCUUUUAACCCCCUUCCCACGAAAUGUAGCAGUAGAUAUCUCCCUAAUAUUAGUGAGAUUAUAUUUAUGAGCUAGCCUCGGUAGAUUUAUGCGCUAGUUGUACUAUAAGUGUAUAUAUCUAGAUUCUCAAUGGAUUGUAAUAUACUUUUUGUUUGUAAACAUUUCAAAGAUGGCUUUCCUUUUCACUUAAAAGAUUAUACAUAUAUGUAUAUAUAUGAGUGUGUGUGUGCGCGCGCGCGUGUGUAGCAAUACAUGGAUGAAUUUUCCAUAACAUUAUCAUUCCUAAAGUAUUAAGAACUGAGCGCAAAUGUGAUGAAGAAAAAUGUUGCAUAUUUAUGUUGUUCGUGUUCAGUUAGUAUUAAAUCAUUCUAAAAUUGUUAAUAUUGAUUUAAGUUUAAAUCAUAUGUGGGUGCACUUUUUGGAAUCUGGUUCAAGUUAAUUCCCUUCUGGUAGAGUUCAAAGUAUUGAUCUCUUAUAGAGAUGUGUUCUAGCAGCUUCUAGCAAGUUAAAUGUUCAUCGCUUAAUGGUCCAAGAUUAUUGUGUUGUGAAGUCUAAUGAGCUGCCAAGUAGCAUGUUGAGCAAUUAGUAAGAGGGGAAUGUUAAAAUGAGUACUAAUGAUUAAUUAAGUAGCCAAAAAGAGGGUGACUACUACUUGAUCAUGGACUAGAAUAUAUACCUUUUCGAAUAACAUGGGAAGUGUUUAUUACUAUUCUAAGUUAAAUGUUAUUGCAGAAAUCAGUCUACUCAUUGAAACAGAAUUAAGAAACCAGCCCUCCCUUUUGAGCUGCUUUCUUAAAGAAUGUCUGAAUUUCUUAGGUUUUUCCUAAAAGUUUCUCCAACAAUGGAAUCAGCCUUAACAAAUACAGCAGGAUAGCCAAUUGGAGCUUCCACCCAAGCUUCAGAACCUUGCCCUGUAAAUAUCUUUUCCGUCCAAAUAUGUUGCCAAGUGCUGGUUUCUCCAACUGGAAAAUAAACUCUGACUUUCUUCUUUCCUUUGUCUAGGAUUGGCACAACUAAGAUCUCAGUACCCACCAAAAACUGCUGGUAACUCAAUCUCUGCACCUUGUCAUCAUCUGGGUAGUGGAGAAAUAGGUGACGGCAUACAGGAAGACCUUUCUGAGAAGCCUCCUGUUAGAAGGCGAGAAAGAGGUUUGUUAGAAUUUACACUGAAAAUGCUGAGUUGAAUUGAAUGGAUCACCUGUGUGCGUAUAUCACCUUUACAAGUUUGAUUCUGUAGAAUUUCCAUGCUCUAUAUACUUUAGCAAAUCGUGCAAAAUGGGAUAACGUUUGUUGGUUUGAGUAGAACUGGCUGUUGAAGGAUGGUUUGUUUCCCUGCAUGUAAAUGGGUUAGCUGACUUGGUUAUUUAGAAAGAGAGUAAUGACUUAUCUACUUAUUUCAUUUUCACUCACAAAAGAUGCUAAUAAUGAUAAUGCCAUUGUUAAUGCAGGUAUAUGAAUUUCUGGAAAGAAAUUUUUAACUUACUUCAUGGGUCCGGAAAACGGUGGUGAAAGCAUUUAGCUCCAUCCAUCGCAACAGCAACUCUUCACUUCUUCUGUAUUUGAUUAGAGGUAAGUUUACUGCACAGUAACCUCCAAU
rnacentral:lncRNA from 1 species